UACGUAGGGUGCGAGCGUUAAUCGGAAUUACUGGGCGUAAAGCGUGCGCAGGCGGUGAUGUAAGACAGGUGUGAAAUCCCCGGGCUUAACCUGGGGGCUGCAUUUGAUACGUGUUGUCUAGAGUGAGGAAGAGGGUUGUGGAAUUCCCAGUGUAGAGGUGAAAUUCGUAGAUAUUGGGAAGAACACCGGUGGCGAAGGCGGCAACCUGGUCCUUGACUGACGCUGAGGCGCGAAAGCUAGGGGGAGCAAAACAGGAUUGAGAA
rnacentral:rRNA from 1 species